UACGUAGGGUGCAAGCGUUAAUCGGAAUUACUGGGCGUAAAGCGUGCGCAGGCGGUGAUGUAAGACAGGUGUGAAAUCCCCGGGCUUAACCUGGGAACUGCAUUUGUGACUGCAUCGCUGGAGUGCGGCAGAGGGGGAUGGAAUUCCGCGUGUAGCAGUGAAAUGCAUAGAUAUCGUCUGGAACGCCGAAGGUGAAAACAGCUCGCUGGGGCCGCGCUGACGCUGAGACACGAAAGCCAGGGGAGCGAACGGG
rnacentral:rRNA from 1 species